rnacentral:rRNA from 1 species
UACGUAGGGUGCGAGCGUUAAUCGGAAUUACUGGGCGUAAAGCGUGCGCAGGCGGUUUUAUAAGUCAGAUGUGAAAUCCCCGAGCUCAACUUGGGAACUGCGUUUGAAACUGUAAGACUAGAGUGUGUCAGAGGGGGGUAGAAUUUCCGGUGUAGCGGUGAAAUGCGUAGAGAUCGGAAGGAACACCAGUGGCGAAGGCGACUCCCUGGGAUAACACUGACGCUCAUGCACGAAAGCGUGGGGAGCAAACAGG